GAAAUGCGAUAAGUAAUGUGAAUUGCAGAAUUCAGUGAAUCAUCGAAUCUUUGAACGCACAUUGCUCCCGCCAGCAUUCUGGCGGGCAUGCCUGUCCGAGCGUCAUUUCAACCAUCAAGCCCCCGGGCUUGUGUUGGGGACCUGCGGCUGCCCGCAGGCCCUGAAAACCAGUGGCGGGCUCGCUGUCACACCGAGCGUAGUAGCAAUCACCUCGCUCAGGGCGUGCUGCGGGUUCCGGCCGUUAAACAGCCUUACAAAACCCAAGGUUGACCUCGGAUCAGGUAGGAAGACCCGCUGAACUUAAGC
rnacentral:misc_RNA from 1 species